rnacentral:rRNA from 1 species
GGAGCUUUAACAUGCAAGUCGAACGGCAGCGCGAGAGAGCUUGCUCUCUUGGCGGCGAGUGGCGGACGGGUGAGUAAUAUAUCGGAACGUGCCCAGUAGCGGGGGAUAACUACUCGAAAGAGUGGCUAAUACCGCAUACGCCCUACGGGGGAAAGGGGGGGAUCGCAAGACCUCUCACUAUUGGAGCGGCCGAUAUCGGAUUAGCUAGUUGGUGGGGUAAAGGCUCACCAAGGCAACGAUCCGUAGCUGGUUUGAGAGGACGACCAGCCACACUGGGACUGAGACACGGCCCAGACUCCUACGGGAGGCAGCAGUGGGGAAUUUUGGACAAUGGGGGAAACCCUGAUCCAGCCAUCCCGCGUGUAUGAUGAAGGCCUUCGGGUUGUAAAGUACUUUUGGCAGAGAAGAAAAGGUAUCCCCUAAUACGGGAUACUGCUGACGGUAUCUGCAGAAUAAGCACCGGCUAACUACGUGCCAGCAGCCGCGGUAAUACGUAGGGUGCAAGCGUUAAUCGGAAUUACUGGGCGUAAAGCGUGUGUAGGCGGUUCGGAAAGAAAGAUGUGAAAUCCCAGGGCUCAACCUUGGAACUGCAUUUUUAACUGCCGAGCUAGAGUAUGUCAGAGGGGGGGUAGAAUUCCACGUGUAGCAGUGAAAUGCGUAGAUAUGUGGAGGAAUACCGAUGGCGAAGGCAGCCCCCUGGGAUAAUACUGACGCUCAGACACGAAAGCGUGGGGAGCAAACAGGAUUAGAUACCCUGGUAGUCCACGCCCUAAACGAUGUCAACUAGCUGUUGGGGCCGUUAGGCCUUAGUAGCGCAGCUAACGCGUGAAGUUGACCGCCUGGGGAGUACGUCGCAGAUUAAAACUCAAAGGAAUUGACGGGGACCCGCACAAGCGGUGGAUGAUGUGGAUUAAUUCGAUGCCAACGCGAAAAACCUUACCUACCCUUGACAUGUCUGGGAAGCCGAAGAGAUUGGCCGUGCUCGCAGAGACGGACACAGUGCUGCAUGCUGUCGUCAGCUCUGUCUUGAGAUGUGGUAGUUCCGCAACGAGCGCACCUUGUCAUAGUGCUACGCAGGAGCACUCUAAUGGAACUGCGUGACACCGAGACGUGGAAGUACGUCAGGUCCUCAUGGCCUUAUAUGGG